rnacentral:misc_RNA from 1 species
UUUUUGAUUACAUCCUGCUUCUUCUGUUCGUCGGACGUUGGCAGACCCAGUUCCUUCUGUCUCUGGUCGUACAUCAUCUUCUCCACCAGACCUCUGGUUUCACCGUCGAGAUCGGAGAGUUUACUAGGCUCAGGAUUCACUUUCUUCGUGCUGAUCUCUGGGUCACAGACCACCACGUGCGCCCACCAUUGCAUUUUGUUCACCUGCGGAAAGAAUAGUUGAUUGCUGCUUUCAAUUAACUGUUCGUUAAACAGAAUCAGUGUUUAAAGAAUCUCUGAAUGUAUUGGAUUUAUGUAUAAAAGUUGAAAGUUGAUCAACAGCAGUUUUCCAUCCUCGAUCACCCAAGUGGAUUCUUCCACUUUGACCUCGUGUGGAAAAUCACCGUCGAUGAUCGGCGGCUGACCCUUGAUGCCACAGGUCAGCCGCUUCUUCGUCAACGUCACGGCAACGUCCUUGGGCCUGGCCGAGAAGUUCACUUUCAGAGUCGUACUUAUGCGAAUAUUCAUAGCUAUUCUCAAAGCUAUUUUCUCGCGAAGCUCAUGCACGCCAAUCAUAAUUCAUCUCACAUUUUCAGCGUGAUAUCAUGUAAAGGAUCGUUCAUAAUGGAUUGUCGUGUCUCUCAAGAAUUCGAUACCUGUGUCUCAUAAAAGAGCGGCCACUGAUUUACAAGCUGACAGCGGAAUACUUAAUUUCGAGUAGUUAAAUUUUUAAGGAUGGCCGUCGGAGGUGACGGUGAAAAGAUAAAAUAACGUUUCGGAGAUCGAUCGAAGCCUGUUAUCUUUCGACCUGUUGUUCAAACACUCGAAUUUAUGUUCUAAAAAGAAGAAGAAGAAGAAGAAGAAAAAAAAAGAAGGAUUCACGUCCAACAAUUCAUUCAAAAUUCAUGACACAAAUGUCUGCAGGUACCUCGCGUAUUAUUGGACGUUUAUAUGGUACUUACGUUCAAAUUUCGUUGUAAUUAUUAUUCGCUUAAUUGUCGGAUCGAAUCGAGCAACCGUUUUGUAGGCGAUGACAUCAGCAGCAACUGCUUUACAAAAUCACUGGAACCAUAAAACUCGCGGGUUGCAAAAGCGAUUGCAUAUAGCAUUCCGGACU